rnacentral:rRNA from 1 species
UAAUACGUAGGGUGCGAGCGUUGUCCGGAAUUACUGGGCGUAAAGAGCUCGUAGGCGGUUUGUCGCGUCGUCUGUGAAAUUCUGCAACUCAAUUGCAGGCGUGCAGGCGAUACGGGCAGACUUGAGUACUACAGGGGAGACUGGAAUUCCUGGUGUAGCGGUGAAAUGCGCAGAUAUCAGGAGGAACACCGGUGGCGAAGGCGGGUCUCUGGGUAGUAACUGACGCUGAGGAGCGAAAGCGUGGGGAGCGAACAGGAUUAGAUACCCUGGUAGUCCACGCCGUAAACGGUGGGUACUAGGUGUGGGGCUCAUUUCACGAGUUCCGUGCCGUAGCUAACGCAUUAAGUACCCCGCCUGGGGAGUACGGCCGCAAGGCUAAAACUCAAAGGAAUUGACGG